rnacentral:tRNA from 1 species
GAGGGUAUAGCUUAGUGGUAGAGUGUGUGCUUAGCGUGCAUGAGGUCCUGGGUUCAAUCCCCAGUGCCUCCA